rnacentral:snRNA from 1 species
UUCACGCUUUCACACCGGCCA